rnacentral:rRNA from 1 species
CGGUCGACCGGCGCACGGGUGAGUAACGCGUAUCCAACCUGCCCACCACUUGGGGAUAACCUUGCGAAAGUAAGACUAAUACCCAAUGAUAUCUCUAGAAGACAUCUGAAAGAGAUUAAAGAUUUAUCGGUGAUGGAUGGGGAUGCGUCUGAUUAGCUUGUUGGCGGGGUAACGGCCCACCAAGGCGACGAUCAGUAGGGGUUCUGAGAGGAAGGUCCCCCACAUUGGAACUGAGUCACGGUCCAA